ACUUAUGUGCUUGAUCGAGUGCCACCGGGAAUGGUUGAUGUGAUUCUGUCAUAUUGCCACUAUGGGAUUAAUGAUUCGAGCCUUGUGGAUUUGCUUCCUUAUUUGAAGAGUAAGGGUGUUGGGGUGAUUAGUGCGUCUCCUCUUGCGAUGGGGCUUUUGACGGAGAAUGGCCCUCCCGAGUGGCAUCCUGCUUCUCCGGAGCUUAAGUCUGCUUGCAGUGCUGCAGCAGAGUAUUGUAGCAAGAAAGGAAAGAAUAUCUCAAAGAUAGCAGUUCAGUAUAGCUUGGCUACUAAAGAAAUAUCAACUGUGCUCAUUGGCAUGAACUCUGUUAAGCAGGUCGAGGAGAAUGUUGCUGCUGCUCUGGAAUUAUCGAGCUCAG
rnacentral:misc_RNA from 1 species